rnacentral:rRNA from 1 species
UGAGGAACAUGACCUUCGGCGGGGGAUAGCCGGCCCAACGGCCGGGCAAUACCGCGUACGACCACAUGGGGACAUCCUUGAGUGGUGAAAGCAGCAAUGCGCCGAUGGAGUGCCUCGCGGCCUAUCAGCUAGUUGGUGAGGUAACGGCUCACCAAGGCAACGACGGGUAGCUGGUCUGAGAGGAUGGCCAGCCACAUUGGGACUGAGACACGGCCCAGAUCC